UACGUAGGCAGCGAGCGUUGUUCGGAGUUACUGGGCGUAAAGGGUGUGUAGGCGGUCCUCUAAGUUUGGUGUGAAAUCUCCCGGCUCAACCGGGAGGGUGCGCCGAAAACUGGGGGACUAGAGUGCGGGAUGGGAGAGUGGAAUUCCUGGUGUAGCGGUGAAAUGCGUAGAUAUCAGGAGGAACACCGGUGGUGUAGACGGCUCUCUGGACCGUAACUGACGCUGAGACACGAAAAGCGUGGGUAGCAAACAGG
rnacentral:rRNA from 1 species